rnacentral:ncRNA from 2 species
UAAAAUUUUAGAGGCAGCGAUGCAAAUUAGUACUUUGUUGAGACGGUAGUCUAUGAAGCAAACGAAAGGUAAUCAUCGCCGAAUGUAAAAUGUAGACAUACAUUUUAUAUGGGAUUAUAGGAAAAACCUAUAAUACUCCUACAAAAAGUAGAGGCGCUAAUCCAAUC